rnacentral:rRNA from 1 species
UACGUAGGGUGCGAGCGUUAAUCGGAAUUACUGGGCGUAAGGCGCGUUUAGGCGGUUUGGCAAGUCGGGCAUGAAAUCCUUCGGCUCAACCGGGGGAGGUUGUCCGAUACUGCUGAACUGGAGGGCAGUAGAGGGUGGUGGAAUUCCGGGUGUAGUGGUGAAAUGCGUAGAGAUCCGGAGGAACACCAGUGGCGAAAGCGGCCACCUGGACUGCACCUGACGCUGCAACGCGAAAGCUAGGGGAGCGAAC